GGGGUGUGCUUAGAACAAGGGGCUUCUCUGUUUACAGCACACCCAACAGGACUCUGGGUUAUUACCGUGAGGGGCACAAGACUUAGGGCCUCCCUAGGAGCAAAUUCCCUACAUGU
ensembl:snoRNA